CAAUGUACACACAACUCCAACACACGUGUUGUGCGUAAAAAGUGGAAAGAGGACAUCGAGUGGAAGUGGUUUAAGUGAAUGCAGUACAAUUUCGAAAUUAAAUCAAAUAUGCCUAGCUAUUGACAAUAGUAUAAUAAAAAUCACAAAUAUUUCAUUACUAAUUCAUAAAGACAAUUUCUCGAGCUUUUGACUGUGGAAUUCUCAAUUGUUGAGUAUCGUCGUCCACAAGCAAAUGCCCAUUUCAGCAUUUCCCUAUGGAAUGCUGUCAAUUGUUUACAUGCGAAUUGAAGUAAAAUAAAAGCCAACCCACCAAAGAACCAAGAAAACAACAAAUUUUUGGACACGUUAACAGCAGCAAAUUGAAGCAACGCCAAAGGCAAGUGGGAGGCGAGAGAAGCACAGCAAACAGCAGGAAAAUGAGCAGCAAAAAUAUAAAAAAGAAAUCAAUGUGAAUUAUUGAUGAAUGGCGCAGCGGCGGCAGUCGAAAUAAAAGCAUAAAAACCGAACGAAAUGUGGCAAAAGAUUGCGAAAGUGAAGUAAUACACACACAUAUCCGCCGCCCGCCAUCCACAGUUAUAUUUACAGUUACAGCGAAAAGUGAACAUUGAACAUUGAACAUGGAAAACUUGGCACGCAGCAAUAAAAGCAAAUAUCAUGCUGCAUACUUCGGGGCGCGUGACGCGUGAAAUUCUCUCUGCUCUCUGCUCUCCUCUUGCUGUCAAGACGCCUCUUUGCUUACUCGCUUUACUUUACCUUUGUUUUCGCACUGAACUCACAGAGCAUAAAAUAAUAAUCAGAAACCAAAUAAGCGCUGAAAUCUGAACCUUAGCUCUCCAUCCUCGGUUUCCCUAGAUGCCUGCCUCUCGCAUUAUUAAAAGCAAAAUUGAAAACAGCCAAGCAAUCCGAGAAAACACAAACAGAGGAAAGAAGAAAGCGAAAGCCAAGUGAAAUAUUAUGUAAUUUCACGCCGCAUAAAAGUAUGCAAUGUUUUUGAUUCACUUGGCGACCAGUGUGACCAGCUCGGGCGUAUCAUUGACAUUAUUAGAGGAAUUGUGCCAUUUGCAACACUUUUACUCUUGUCUUCAGCCUCCGUCUCCGUAUCCGACUCCUAAAAUAAUGGUACUAUAAUUUUAUGCUCGCUCUCACAAGUGAUUUAUGCAAAUGUGCGUCGAGUGCGUUAUUUACGAUACGCAAACCACGCACAAACUGGUGGGAAAUACCAUCACAUUUCAUAGCAUUAUCCAUUAUGUGGCAUUCUGUCCAUAGGCCUGAUCAGAUAUGUAUUGUAUUAUUCAAGUUGAGUAUUAUUGCCUCGAGAAGCACUGCACAGCGCAGUGGCGACAAGUUGAAGGCCACAUCGAAAGCAACGAAAGAAGGACGCGAAUGGCGAAAAUGGCUGCCAGGUCACCAACAAAAACAACAACAACAACAACACCAAAAACAAGAACAACAGUUUCAGUUAAGGCAGUUAAACCGGUUAUAGCUGCAAUUUUUAUGUCUGGAUAACACGCACGAUUCGCACUGGGCAGAGGAGAGCGGCCGGGGAUAAAACUGUCUAAAUCGACUGCGACUACUAUUUAAUUUAUAAAUGCCCACACACACAUUUCACGUACACAAAUGAAAUAAAAACGAGGGAGAAAGCAAAAGCAGGAAGAAGAACACUAAAACAAAUCUAUUUUUUAUGGCCCGCAGUAUUCCCGGGCUUGGUUAAAGAUUGAAAAAUGUUGCU